AGCAGCCUAUAAAUAUGUAUCCCCAACCCCUCAGGUUGGCAUGGCAUUGUGUGAGAAAUAAACCAACGAAAAUUGUCCCAACUCUCCUAGUGUCAUCCACAACUAUCAAUGCUCAGGUUGAAAGGUCUAACAUAUGUUUCCUCAAUAAACUCUUGUCUAGCAAAGAGGGCCAAACAUUUAUGUUCAUUAUCUACUGUUUCAGUUAUUACUUGCUAACUCUCUUUGCUUCAACUCCAUUCAAGAUGAUCAGCCAAGUCAGCGUGCCUGUCUCUGAUUUUCCUGCAAUAUCACUGCUUAGGCCCCGCUUGGAUUGUCGGUUGCUUCCCAAAUACCUCCGUAAUCGAUACAGACCUCCAGCCGUUCUUUCUAUUCGGACGGAAAUCACACUGUGGCGGGUAAUUUACACCUGUAAAUUAAAUCCAGGUGUACAAACUUACACCGAAUCCAAGCAGGGCCUUAUGUAGCACACACAACAUUUCUUGUCUACAUCUUCAGUGCAUAUCUUAUACUAUCGGUUGAUCUAUUUAUUUAUUUUUGACGAAGUAGAUGUUGCUCACUCAAGUAUUGUUGGCAGCUUGAGACUGUAAAUUUUCUGGAGAUACUUGUCCUUUAAACUGUGCACACGUUUCUCACUCAAGUAUUGUUGGCAGCCUGAAACUGUACCUCCAAUUUCUGAGCUAGGUUCAGAUGCUCUCAUUGAGCUGAUGUCUGUUGACAAUUUUGUGGACUGAUUGAACAGGAAGAAGGUUGGAAUAAAAGCUCUUUUACUCGAUCAGAGUUCCAUAUCAGGCGUUGGUAAUUGGAUUGCAGAUGAGGUGCUUUACCAGGUAUCCGCACAAAAAUUUGUGAGGCCUGCAUCAAAUGCAGCACUUGAACUUUGAUUUUAAUAUGGGCCUGGAAAUGUAAGGGUCCUGGGACGGAGGGUUGGACACCUGCCUUGAUUGCUAGAGGCCUGAUUGUACAAGAGGGGAAGUAACCAUGAAUCUAUAAUCUAUAAUACUUAAAUAGUUCAUCCCCACUAUUCUAUUUUUCUUGACAUGCAGUCUAUCCACCUCAGCACCCUUGCCACAUCAUCAGUUUCUCUUAAUUAUUUUGAUCAUGCAUCUCACCAAGUCACAUUAUUUUACAAAAUAAAAAUAAAAAUGAUUCGAUUGUCUGUAAACCGAAAGGCCUCUGUAACCCAAGAGUCGUCCUCCCUUGGCUUUCCCCAACAUCUUCUCAAUCUCCGCUUCCUGCACGAUCCAUCAACUAAUUACGUGGCUAUAUUAAUCUCCGGCAACCGAUCUACUUCGUCUUCAUCUUCCACUGAAACAGAUGGAAGAGUAACAGAUAGCUGUUCCUCCUUUUAAGGAAACGAUUGUACUGCAGAUAGAGCUGUUAUUCCUUUUAAGCAACCGAUCUGCUCUGUUCCUAUGGCCUCCACCACAGCUAGAAUAUUAUUAUUCCUCAACAUGACGGCAAGGUGGUGCACUACCAUGGCGUUUGGCAUCAAUAUGUAUGCUGUAUACAGCUGCCGCGAGUUCAUGGCGUUGGCCCCCCUCCUCUCCGAUCCAUGCCGCGUGCGGCUGCGACCGCAUCUUCCACAAGCACGAGGUCGAGGCCGGGCACUGCUGAGGCGCUCCUCCAUGCCGCGUGGUCGAGGACGUCUAAUGCUCUCCUCGCCGCUGCAGAAAUAUGUUUUCUUCCUAGCUCACCUGGGUUGAUCGGCUCAUUGGCAUUGACAGGUAAGUUGUAGGGGCAUUGAGACGAUUCCAUUCUAUCUUGCUGGAUCAAUCAACUAUAUAUAUGAAUCAGUUCAUUGUCUUCUUCCUCCCCAUCUUGCUAUUUCAUUUUAAUUUGGUGAUCGUGCGCGUGUGAUGUAGUUAACAUAUACAGUGUGUUCAUGAGAAUCUGAAGUGGUGUGUAGAUCGAUCUAUGAUAAUACAACUGGUGCGGGUAAAUCCACGUGCAGGUGACGAAUUUCAAGACCAUCGCGGUUGACUGUAUCUUGCCUGCUCGCGCCCCCAUGACACCACCAACGUGUUGGACAAGGUGAAAUACUCGUGUAUCCCAUGACACCUGAUUCCAUCCUAAUCCGCUAAUUGCUCCAUGGUUCCAUCCUAAUCCUCCUCUACUAUCUUGCUACUUUUGUUUAUUAUUUUUACCAUACAUUCUGUAUGUAAUGUUCUAGAUGAAUGAACGUUCAUAUUAUUUGGCAUACGAACUUCCGAAGGAUCCAUUUUUAUUGGUUUCCACAUUAUUUGUUUAUUAUUUUUGUACAUGCCUUUGGUAGUUAUGCUCAAAGAUGAAUGAACAUUCAUAUAUUGCCAUGGCAACUUCCCGAGGAUCCAUGUUUAUAAGUUCGUUUACAGGGUUGUUGCCAAAUUGUGAGAUCUAUCUCAUGUCUUAUACCAGAAGAAGAUGGUUUGGUACAAGGAAGGUUGCAGUUUCAUGAUUUAGUUUGAAUGGAACAGUAGGAAAUCUUUGUUAUACAAAUAAAUUAAUCAUUAUAAUAAAUAUGGAUAAUAUUAAACAUAUAAAAGGAUUAUAUCAGAUUGUCAAGCAAUUAUCGUACACUGCAGAAUGUUUUCCUUGACCUGUGAGACAUAAUUUUUUGAUAUAUAAUUCAUGCUUAAAAUUUUUUUGUUGUCCAAUCACAUGUGACCUCAAUAUGGUGUGUCAGUUUGAUCAAAAGAUAUUGCAACCUCCGCUCACCCAUCAGCGAUCUUGAUGGAGUGGUAACCAAAUGAUGAAGACUUGAUUCUUGAUGUGUUUCCAGUUAUUUCCCCCAAAGUUUGUUUAUUUCAAUUUCUUUCAAGCCAACCCAAAGGAAUGCUUGCAUGUUAAUGCUAAAUCUUUGUUGUUUGUAAACAAAGCAUUUAUUCAAACUUUCAAAUGUAAACAUUAUAUCCAAAUUGGAUCUUUAAUUGAUGUAUUUUUUUUCAUAUUUUUUCAUUCAUACUAUGUGUGCUUUUCUUUAAAGCUGCAUAUAAAAUGUAGAAAGUCCCGCCGCAACGUGCGGGAAAUCAUCUAGUUUAUUAUAUUAUUCAUUACUAGCCUCCAACUAGUUAUUCAACAAAGUAUUAGUAGCAAUUCCAUGCACCUGAAUCGAUCUGAUCUUAUCCCGAACAACUGAGGCUAUCACACCAUGGAGAUAAAGCUGCUCUGUUCCUUCGAUAAAACUACUGCAGCUUCUGCACUUGUUUUGCUGCACUGUUGCUUGGCUGUAACAGACUUCAUGGUAUUCUUUGCACUCGAGAACCCAUCCAUUACUGAUUGCCUCAACCUUAACAAGGGAGAGAGCUGAGCCACUGAACCAAAGCAUCCAGGAGGUUAUUCUAAUUUGACAUUGUUUUGAGUAACUGUUGUAUGUAGCCUUGCAGAAUAGCCAAGACACUAUUAGGUUGUGAAAUAUGCUUCCAAGUCGAUGCUGAUUGUGACCUGCUUUCGUGUGGAAUGAUUGUUUCACCACUGAUGGGGCAGCGAGCCUGGUAAAUCUGAUGCUGGUGGCAGGGUGAGCAUUUGAGCAAUACCACUUCACUUCUACACCUUGUACCAUCCCGAAUUUAUCUAAAGAGAACAGCCAGCUUCUUGAUUCGAUCUCCAUGGAGUUUGCUCGGCUCAGCUCCACUGUGGAGUUAAUGGAGUUGAGAGGUGGAGGGUUGCCGAACAGGCCCUAAAGCUCUGGUUCGCCUCCUUGUGUGCCACAACUGCAGAAGCUGAUCGGGUUCCAAUCUGGCAAAGCAGUAGUAUCUCACCUAGGUCAAGCAUGGGCAGAUACAGAACAUAUGAUGAUUUGAAGCCAAGAAAGAGAGUGGCAACAUUCAGGACUGCCAAGGAACAGCAAAACAGGGGUGCCAUAAGUGCCCCCUCCAGGAAACAUGGAAAAUUGCUGGUGGCAAGAAACCAAGCAUUAAACAUAGCAUCAAGGACGGUUUUGAUACCAUGGAACAAAAUAAAGCUGGUUCCACUGGAAAUGAUGAUCAUGGUUUGGACGAAGCUACUGCUAUGCUGCGCAGGGCAUCAGAACGGGUUACAGGUAAAUAGUCGAGGAAUGAAUCAAAGCCCACCAAACACUAAACCAGGAGGAAGAUACGAAAUUUAGUAUAUAUGCUCCUCGUAUGUUUAACGUUACUGCCUGUAGAUAUAAGCUGACACUAAACAUUCUUAUAUUAUCGGACGGAGGGAGUAUUUGGAAUCUUAAAAUUUGUGUAAAAAACGCUCUUAUAUUAUGGGACGGAGGGAGUAUUUGGAAUCUUAAAAUUUGUGUAAAAAACACUCUUAUAUUAUGGGACGGAGGGAGUAUUUGAAAUCUUAAAAUUUGCGUAAACAUGUCUCUGUUUCUUAACUACUGCAUCAUAGUAUCAUAUGAACAGAAUAUUUAUCCAUCUGAACCCUCAGCUCGACGAUUGAUCCGUGUUCAUUAUGAAAUCCAAUGGUCAGAUUCUCCUCUCGUAUUUGGGCAUGAUUUGUUUUGAACAAAAUUGAACAGACUUCAUUAUAGUAGUAUUUGAAUACUGAUGCCAUUUUUUUUGAGCAAUAAUGCUAAACAUACAAAGAGUUACAC